rnacentral:lncRNA from 1 species
ACGGGGAUGGGCACACAUAGAGGAAAGACCACGUGAGGACACAGGAGCUGGUGGCCGUCUGCAUGCUAGGGAGAGAGGCCUCAGGAGAAACCAACCCUGUGGACACCUUGAUGUCAGACCUCCAGCCUCCAGAACCAUGAGAGAGAAAUUUCCAUUGUUUACAAGCUCCCCGGUUGAUGUAUUUUGUAGGGCAGCUCUAGAAAAGUAGCACAUUACCCAAAGACAGGUGUUGGCCCUCAUUUUUGCUUUUGGGAGAGUGAUUCUCACGAUUUAGGCAGACAGAGAAAAGUUUCCUUUUAAACCUAGUGCCUGGAACAGAGAAGAUUAGCCCUGAGCUAACAUCUACUGCUAAUCCUCCUCCUCUUGCUGAGGAAGACCAGCCCUGAGCUCACAUCUGUGCCCAUCAACCUCCACUUCACAUGUGGGACACCUACCACAGCAUGGCCCGCCAAGCUGUGCCAUGUCCACACCCGGGAUCCGAACCAGUGAACCCUGGGCCACCAAAGCGGAACUGUGCGCACUUAACUACUGCGCCACCAGGCCAGCCCCAGAAGAUUUCAUUUGAUCCUGCUUUUCUGGAGCAAUGCCACCAACUUCAUUUGUAAUGUGCUGCCUUUGUCUUUGGGUGGAAAAUGGCGGAAGAACAGAGGAGCAGGUGUCCUUUAUAUGCACAUAACCUCAUAAACUUCAAUUGAUUCGUUGCCACCUGUUAUCAAACGACACCUGCAUAACAGACUGCAGAUAACAAAAGAGGCAUUCAGGGGCAGACAACUACGGUUAUGCAAUUGAAAGUCAAGGUUGCAUCUUUGAGUCCACCUAGAUAGUUGUGGGCAUUUCCUUUUUUUUCCUCAAUAGUAAAUACAUUCAUAUGGUUCAUAAAUUUAAAAAUAUGAAAUGGUUUACAGUGAAAGCUUUUUUGGGUCCCUUGACUGUGCAGUUUUCAUCUCCCAGCCCUUACCAGUCACUAAUUAGUUUAAUCAGUUUCAAGACUAUUCUUCCAGAAUUUCUUCAGGCAAAUACAAGUGUCUACGACCUCAUGUAUGUUUAAGCUGGGGAUCAUUUAAAGAACACCAUACCUAGUGGGAAUGAUCUUCUGACAUUUUUCCUUUUUUGAUGUAAGAAAAAAAUAUUAUAGUGAACCUUUGCAUGGUUUUAAUUUUCUAGCAAUAGUAGAGAUAGCCUGGCCUACUAACCAGUGCUGGGCUAGGCGUCAAUAGAUGCGCCAUUAAUUUAAAAUAUAACUCUGAACUCUCGUUCUUUGCGCUUCAGCUGAGAAGGAGAAUAUGCACCCGUGAGUGUGAAGGUAAAAUGGGGACAUGCAAGUGUCAGUGCUCUGAAAAGUGUAAGCUCGCAGGCAAAAAGAAGGCAUGAAUGAUGCCCUUCAUGAGGACCAGGGCAUCUUCCAA